rnacentral:rRNA from 2 species
ACUUUUAAUAACAGAUCUCUUGGUUCUAGCAUUAAUAAAGAACGCAGCAAAAUACAACAAGUAGUGUAAAUUGUAGAAUUUAGUAAAUUAUUAAAUCUUUAAACACACAUUACGCCCCUUAGUAUUCUAUAGGGCAUGCCUGUUUAAGCGUUAUUUGUACCCUUAAGCUCUGCUUAGUGUUAGGUGUUUAUUCUACUUAGGACUCGCCUUAAAACAAUUAGUAGCUAGCAUAUUAGCCUAGAGCGCAGCAUAUUUUGCGCCUCUUGUUAUAGUUGUUAGUAUCUAUUAAGACACUUUUUAAGCUCUUAACCUUAGAUUAGGUAGGGAUACCCACUAAACUUAAGCAUAUUAAUAAGUAGAGGAAAAGAAACUAAUAGGGAUUGCCCUAGUAAUGGCAAGUAAAGCGGCAACAGCUUAAAUUUAAAAUCUAGCUCUUUUAGGGUCUAAGUUGUAAUUUGUAGAGGGCGCUUUAGCGUUAGCAGCAGUCUAAGUUCCUUAGAAUAGGACGUUAUAGAGGGUGAGAAUCCUGUACGUGGUCGCUAGCCUUUACUAUAUAAAGCCCCUUUAACAAGUUAAGUUAUUUAGGAAUACAGCUCUAAAUAGGAGGUAAAUUUCUUCUAAAGCUAAAUACUAGCUAGAGACUAAUAGUGUACAAGUAGAGUAAUUAAAAGAUAAAAAGCACUUUAGAAAGAGAGUUAAAUAGCACGUGAAAUUGUUAAAAGGGAAGCGCUUGCAGCUAGACUUGCCUGUAGUUACUUAUCUAGGCUUUUGUCUAGUGCACUCUUCUAUAGGCAGGCUAGUAUUAGUUUAGGCAGUUAGAUAAAGGUCUCUAUCACGUACCUCCCUUUAGGGAGGCCUUAUAGGGGAGACAAUAUGCAACUAGCCUAGACUAAGGUCCGCGUAUCUACUAGGAUGCUGGCGUAAUAGCUAUAAGCGGCCUAUCUUAAAAUAUAGACUAAGGAGUCUAACAUCUAUACAAGUAUUUGGGUGUUAAGCCUAGACGCGUAAUAAAAGUGAACAGAGGUAGGAACCCUUUUAGGGUGCACUAUUAACCAAUCCUAAUAUCUUUAGAAGGAUUUAAGUAAGAGCAUAGCUAUUAGGACCUAAAAGAUAGUAAACUAUGCUUAAAUAGGGUGAAGCUAGAGGAAACUCUAGUAGAGGCUUGCAGUGGUUCUAACGUGCAAAUUAAUUAUUAAAUUUAGGCAUAGGGGCGAAAGACUAAUCAAACUAUCUAGUAGCUAGUUCCUACCAAAGUUUCCCUUAGGAUAGUAGUAACGUAUUUAGUUUUAUAAGGUAAAGCAAAUAAUUAGAGGCCUAGGGGUUAAAACAACCUUUACCUAUUCUUAAACUUUAAAUAUAUAAGAAGUCCUUAUUACUUAAUUAAACGUGGACACUUAAAUGUACUAUUACUAGUAGGCCAUUUUUAGUAAGUAGAACUAGCAAUAUAGGAUGAACUAAACGUGGGGUUAAGGUGCUAGAAUGCACGCUUAUUAGACACUACAAAAGGUGUUAGUUUAUCUAGAUAGCAGGAUAGUAGCUAUAGAAGUUAGAAUCUACUAAGGAGUGUGUAACAACUUACCUGCUAAAUAAACUAGCCCUAAAAAUAGAUGGCGCUUAAGCGUGUUACCUAUACCCUGCCGCUAGGGCAAGAUUUAAGCCCUAGCAAGUAGGUAGGCGUAGAGGCUCGUGACAAAGCCUUAGGGGUAACCCUAGGUAGAACGGCCUCUAGUGCAGAUCUUGGUAGUAGUAGCAAAUACUUAAAUAAGAACUUUAAGGACUAAAGUAGGGAAAGGUUCUAUAUAAACAGCAGUUAGACACAGGUUAGUUAAUCCUAAGAGAUAGGGUAAUUCUAUUUUAAUGUUAGUGCUUGCGCUACGCCCUUAAAAGGGAAGCUAGUUAAUAUUCUAGAACCUAGAUAUAGAUUCUCCGCGGCAACGCAACUAAGAGUAGAGACCUUAGCAGGGAGCCCUAAGAAGAGUUCUCUUUUCUUUUUAACGGUCUGUUACCCUAAAAUUAGUUUGUCUAGAGCUAGGGUUCAAUAGCUAGAAGAGCACUAUACUUUUACAGCGUUUAGUGCGCUCCUAACAAGCCUUAAAAAUCUACUUAAAGAAAUAGUUUUUACGCUAGGUUAUACUUAUAACUGUAGUAGGUCUCUAAGGUAAAAAGCCUCUAGUUAAUAGAAUAAUAUAGAUAAGGGAAGUUAGCAAAAUAGAUCUGUAACUUUAGGAAAAGGAUUAGCUCUAAGGGUUAGGUACGUUAGGCCUUAGGGAGAAGCCUCUAGCGUAGAAGGGCACUAACUGCAAGGUAGGCGCCUCUUAGCGCUAGGGUGCAGACACCCUUAGUAGGUUUUAGCUGUCUAGCGUACGUUUAACAACUAACUUAGAACUAGUAUAGAUAAGGGGAAUCUAACUAUCUAAUUAAAAUAUAGUAUUAUAAUAGCUAGAAAGUAGUGUUAAUAUAAUGUGAUUUCUGCCUAGUGCUCUAAAUAUUAAAGCAAAGAGAUUUGACCAAGCGCAGGUAAAUAGCGGGAGUAACUAUAACUCUCUUAAGGUAGCUAAAUGCCUUGUUAUCUAAUUAGUGACGCGCAUAAAUAGAUUAAUAAGAUUCCUACUAUCCCUAUCUACUAUCUAGCAAAACUAUAGCUAAGGGAACAGGCUUGGCCAAAUUAGCGGGGAAAGAAGACCCUAUUAAGCUUAACUCUAGUUUAACAUUAUAAAAAGAUAUAGGGGGUGUAGAAUAGGUAGGAGCUUUAGCGCUAGUGAAAUACUACUACCCUUAUUGUUUUUUUACUUAUUUAAUAAAGCGGAGCUAGGCCUUACUACCUAACUUCUAGCGUUUAAGGUCCUUUGUAGGCUAAUCUAGGUUAAAGACAUUGUUAGGUAGGGAGUUUAGCUAGGGCAGCACAUCUAUUAAACUAUAACGCAGGUGUCCUAAGGGGGACUUAUAGAGAAUAGAAAUCUCUAGUAGAGUAAAAGGGCAAAAGUCCCCUUAAUUUUAAUUUUUAGUGUAAAUACAAACUAUAAAAGUGUAGCCUAUUAAUCCUUUAGUCCCUUAAAAUUUAAGGCUAGAGGUGCUAGAAAAGUUACUAUAGGGAUAACUAGCUUGUGGCAGCCAAGCGUUCAUAGCAACGUUGCUUUUUAAUCCUUUAAUAUUAGCUCUUCCUAUUAUACUAAAGUAGAAUUUAGUAAGCGUUGGAUUAUUUACCUACUAAUAGGGAAUGUGAGCUAGGUUUAGACUGUUAUAAGAUAGGUUAGUUUUACCCUACUAAUAACCUUGCCCUAAUAGUAAUACCGCUUAGUACAAGAGGAACCGCGGUUUUAGAUAAUUAGUUUUUGCGGCUAUCUAACUAGGCAUUGCUACAAAGCUACUAUCUGCUAGAUUAUAGCUAAACGCCUCUAAGUUAGAAUCUAUGCCAGAAUAGGGUAAUUUCUGCCUGCACUAGUUAGAUACAAAUAGGCCUUUGGCCUAGAACCUUACUAGAUUAGCGUUAGCAGCCCUAUUAAAGUUAGGGUUGUUAGCUAGUAUAUUACAAUUGU